CUUCUUCCUUAACCCCAACGAGAGAGAAAUAGGAGAUGAGCGUUUCGCAUGUAUACUCGUGUUUCUGUUUCCUUCAAGAACAUCUGUAGAAGUCAUCGUCUGACAUCAGCACCCGGGCGAUGGUCAGAUACUUCAUGUCAUGUGACAGGAGCAAGCGUGAGUCAUUGGUCAGCACCUUUCCCCCUUUCAGCCAGCCAUAGGUGGGCUUGGUGCCAUCGCCGUGGGAACAGUGUAAGGUGAAGAGUUCACUCAACUCCAGCACCGAGGAGGCUAUCAUUUGGACGAAGGGUCUGGACACAGACUGUGUGUAUGGGUGAUCAUGGGAAUCUAUAACCCACUAUCCUGGCGUUGCAAGCGCCAUGCUCUACCAAAUGAGCUACAGAGGAAACCUUCCUACCAUCUAC